AUUGAACGCUGGCGGCAUGCCUUACACAUGCAAGUCGAACGGCAGCACGGACUUCGGUCUGGUGGCGAGUGGCGAACGGGUGAGUAAUGUAUCGGAACGUACCUUUCAGUGGGGGAUAACGUAGCGAAAGUUACGCUAAUACCGCAUAUUCUGUGAGCAGGAAAGCAGGGGAUCGCAAGACCUUGCGCUGAUUGAGCGGCCGAUAUCAGAUUAGCUAGUUGGUGGGGUAAAGGCCUACCAAGGCUACGAUCUGUAGCGGGUCUGAGAGGAUGAUCCGCCACACUGGAACUGAGACACGGUCCAGACUCCUACGGGAGGCAGCAGUGGGGAAUUUUGGACAAUGGGGGCAACCCUGAUCCAGCCAUGCCGCGUGAGUGAAGAAGGCCUUCGGGUUGUAAAGCUCUUUCGGCCGGGAAGAAAUCGCAUAGGCUAAUACCCUGUGUGGAUGACGGUACCGGAAUAAGAAGCACCGGCUAACUACGUGCCAGCCGCCGCAGUAAAAC
rnacentral:rRNA from 1 species